rfam:Tannerella sp. oral taxon BT063 isolate Cell 1/3 contig_2519917893, whole genome shotgun sequence.
GCAGCCUGAGAGUCGAAGGCAACGCAGCAAUUCGCCAUUUACAUCCCCCGAGAGGAAAGUCCGGGCAACACAGGGCACCAUCCUUCCUAACGGGAAGCUGUCGGCGACGGCAGAGCAAGCGUAACAGAAAAGAACCGCCGGGCGCAUAGCGCUCGGUAAGGGUGAAAAGGCGAGGUAAGAGCUCACCGCCCCCGUCGGAAUACGGGGGGACAGUACGCCUGAUGGGUUGUAAGGUCAUGUAUACCGGCGCAUCAAGGGCUGCCCGCCCAAUGCCGGGGGGUAGACUGCACAGAGCCUGUCGGCAACGGCAAGGCCAAGAUAAAUGACAGACGCACCGCCGCUCCCCGCGGUGGCGUACAGAACCCGGCUUAUAGGCCGGCUGUCCCU